UACGAAGGGGGCUAGCGUUGUUCGGAAUUACGUGGCGUAAAGGGCGCGUAGGCCGGUUUGUACAGUCAGAACGUGGAAAUUCCUGGGCCUCAACCUGGGGCUGCGUUUGAUACGUGCAGACUUGAGUUCGGAAGAGGGUCGUGGAAUUCCCAGUGGUAGAGGUGAAAUUCGUAGAUAUUGGGAAGAACACCGGUGGCGAAGGCGGCGACCUGGGUCCGAUACUGACGCUGAGGCGCGAAAGCGUGGGGAGCAAACAGG
rnacentral:rRNA from 1 species